rnacentral:rRNA from 1 species
CGGGCAUAGCAAUAUGUCAGCGGCAGACGGGUGAGUAACGCGUGGGAACGUACCUUUUGGUUCGGAACAACACAGGGAAACUUGUGCUAAUACCGGAUAAGCCCUUACGGGGAAAGAUUUAUCGCCGAAAGAUCGGCCCGCGUCUGAUUAGCUAGUUGGUGAGGUAAUGGCUCACCAAGGCGACGAUCAGUAGCUGGUCUGAGAGGAUGAUCAGCCACAUUGGGACUGAGACACGGCCCAAACUCCUACGGGAGGCAGCAGUGGGGAAUAUUGGACAAUGGGCGCAAGCCUGAUCCAGCCAUGCCGCGUGAGUGAUGAAGGCCCUAGGGUUGUAAAGCUCUUUUGUGCGGGAAGAUAAUGACGGUACCGCAAGAAUAAGCCCCGGCUAACUUCGUGCCAGCAGCCGCGGUAAUACGAAGGGGGCUAGCGUUGCUCGGAAUCACUGGGCGUAAAGGGUGCGUAGGCGGGUCUUUAAGUCAGGGGUGAAAUCCUGGAGCUCAACUCCAGAACUGCCUUUGAUACUGAAGAUCUUGAGUUCGGGAGAGGUGAGUGGAACUGCGAGUGUAGAGGUGAAAUUCGUAGAUAUUCGCAAGAACACCAGUGGCGAAGGCGGCUCACUGGCCCGAUACUGACGCUGAGGCACGAAAGCGUGGGGAGCAAACAGGAU